rnacentral:misc_RNA from 1 species
CGGCGCAAUCAUCUUCUCUUCUCUGUUCCUUCUACACGGAGCGCCUAACUUGAGCCAUGACCGACGCGUUGUCUUCAGCAGUGUUUAUCGCUCUCGCCAUCCUCUUUCUCUUUUGGGGCACCGUGCAGACGCUGAGCUUGAAGUGGGCCGACACCAUUGAUGCUUCUGAUGGAUUUACGGGUCCCACGAGCGGCCAAGGCGGUUCUCACGCCGUUCACUUCCGGCUGCUCUACUCCUUUGCCCACCCCUUUACGCAAGCCUUCUUCAUGUUCUGCGCAGAGACAAGCUGCCUGGUAAUGCUCGUCUGCACGCUUGUGUGGAAGAAGUAUGUGGCACCCCGUCUGUACGACAGCAGGAAGGCUACUACUGCUGCCCCCUCAGGCGAAUUGGUGGCGGGCGAGGACUAUGCGCUGCCCUGCAACCCGUCUCUCUGGCUGCUGCCGUCUGGCGCGGACUUUUUGGCGAGUAUAGUGCAGAACGUCGGCCUGACGCUCACGUACGCCUCUGUGUACCAGAUGCUGUGCGGCUCCACCGUUGUGUGGAUUGCCCUCAUCUCGCACUUCUGGCUAGGUUACCGCUUCACGAAGGUGGAGCUGUGGGGGAUGGGCUGCGUCGUUCUAGGUGUCUUUUUGGUGGGCCUGAGCAACCUUCUCGAACGGGGGCUCGACUUCGAGAGCACCUCACACGGGCGACAAAAGAAUCAGGUGCUGGGCAACCUCCUUGUCUUGAUGGCGCAGAUUCUGCACGCCUACCAAGGCGUGUGUGAGGAGCGGCUGAUCCGCCUCUACAAGGUUCCGUCGCUGCAGAUGGUGGGGACAGAGGGCAUCUACGGUAUCGGCAUGUCGCUCAGUCUGCUCGCCUUCUUGCAGCUGGUGCCAAUGGCCACCUGGGGCCACAAUUUGGCGGCUGUAGAGGAGUUUUUGUCCUCUGGUGGACCUGGCGUUCUACACACCAACGUUACAUGGGUGCAACAGCUGCAGCCGGCGCUGAAGGUGCCCUACGAUGACGUGGUCCUCGCGUUUGCGCAGAUACGAGAGUCGUUGGAGUGCAAGGUGUUCAUCUUAGUCUAUCUCCUUUCCGGCUUUUUCUACAACGCGUGCCACAUGAGCGUCAUCAAGUACGUGUCGGCAACGGCCACUGUCAUGAUUGGAUCCCUGCGCAACGUAACUGUGUGGCUGGUGUGCCUCCUCAUCCCAUCCGUCUUCGAGGAGCACUUCAACGUGGUGCAGCUCAUCGGGUUUGUGUUUCUUGUGCUCGGCAACGUGCUGUUUCACCGAAUUUGCAUUACGCGCUUUGACGCCAUUCUGCCCGCGCAGGUGAUUGACGCCUGCCCGGUGCUCUUCCGCGAUGCCCGGAAGGAUAGGGAGGACGUUGUGAAGGUGGAGACCAGGAUCAGGGAUACAUCUCUUGAGCCGCAGGUGAGGGAGAUGAGGCCCAAGGAGGGCUAGAUAUUAGGAUAAAAAUGCGAGCGGUAGGUACGCUAAGCGGUUGAGACACCUGUCCGUCAAGGGAAGAAGAGGUGUCUUUACUUGUUUGCUUCGUUGCGCUCUCUGGAAGGUGAGAGGAGGAGGGGUGCGGGCAGCGAGGCCCAUUGACUUGCUCUGGUAUGGUCGAAAGAGCAGCGUUUCGUACGUGAAAUGAUUAUCAAGCAUGCCAGCUGGCUUAUCGCUAUGUUCUCUUCCUCUCACCGCUCCAGGCGCUGUACUUGCCGUGUGCCUGACUAUUUUUUCGCCUUCAUGCUUGACAACAGCUGUGUUGGAGUGAUGCAGACGUAGCCCAGCCCCUCUUCCUCGACAGGGAAGGCGCGUGUAAAGGCAGGAAAGGGCCACACCUGCUGCACCGGAUUCCUGCAACUUCAAUGACCAUUCACGGCUACGCAGAUGCCUUGCCACGAUACGACAAGUGCCCCUGUGCUUUGUUUGCGUGCGUUGGGUUGGUCUCUUUUCCUUUCGGUGUCGAUUGGCGUUUGAACGUUUUUUUUUUGUUCGCAUGCACGUGCCUGUGGGCGCUUUUGUAUCGUCUUUGAGGAACAAACAGGAGUUCUUCAGUGUGGCGGAGCCUGCACCCGAUUCUCGUGCUUUGCCCCUCACCCGCACCCCACCCACACCCUCUCUCUCUGUUUAUGUGCUUCGAGGUUGUAAGUCUGCCGCUUUUUUUUUCGACUCUCCCCUCUUCCGUCCAUAUAUGUAUGAAUAUAUAUAUUCCCCCUUACCCCCUCUUUAUGCACACUCUGAGGUCUGAGAAAAGUCUACGGCUCUUUGAUGCGUGCGGAGCUGGGCGCGUUCGGGGUACCUUUUCCCUCUUUCUGGCGCAGCUCUUCCUCUCUCUAUUGGGUCCUUGCCCAUCCGCCUUCCUGCGAGAAUGACUUCUCCUCACCUAUCCCCCCCCCUGGCACUCGUCGCUUCGACUCUUGCCAUGAUUCAAAAUGAAGAUGAGCAAGCAGCCUCUCCUCUCUCUCUAUUUUUUUUUCCCCAAACACCGCUUUGUUUUUGCACAUUUCUAUUUUGAGCGUAUCGCCCUGUGGUGUUCUCUCGAGUAGCCAUGAGCGCUGCGCUGCUGCAUGGAGACGCUUUACAGCUCGCAUGGAUGCAAGCGUGUGUAAGGGAAGGUCAUCGUUCUUCUCUCCCUCUCAAGUGCGCGGUUUUCGCUCACGUUGCUCGCGGUUGAAGAAGCACGCCGGAUACCGUGCAGAUGACGACGUCUUCCAUGAACCCUCCUCCCCUGCACACGCGCACGCAUUUUGCCACACCUCUCUUGAAGCGGUGGUCUUUCAAAGAUGGAAAGGGCGUCAUGCACGUUUGUGUGCAUGUGUGUGGGAAUGCCAACCACCACAUGCUCGCAACCGCAGACCGGUGAAGGCCCCGCCGUCUACGAGGGAAAAAAAAGGGAAAACAAAAGACAGCUAAAAGGCAGCAUCAGCAGUCAGAGAUGGCCUCCCUCUCUUUUCCGACGGACGGGCGCUUUGCCCGGCAUGGCGCGCUGCAUCAGAUUCUGCUCAGGAGCAGUAAGGCGAGG